AAAAACUCUGUGGCAUUAAAGGAUAAAAUAUGUGAGGAACCCACUAAGUUCAGUCUUUCUGUUUUGAAAGGUCAGGAUAAGAAGAAAUAUGCCCCCAAGGCAUAAAAUACUCCAAUGAGUAUUUUUAGGAAAAUAAAGUCUUUCAGUUAUCCUUGGAAUUUACAAAGGAUAUGCCUUAGAUAAGGCAGAGUGAUUUUACAUAUUAGGAGGGAAGUUUGUGAACUUUGGUUCCUCAAGAGAGAUAGUUCAGGUUAAGGCAUGAAUAAGAUUAGAAAGAUUUAUAGAGGACAGUUUUAUAAGGAGCUAUUAAGGAAAAUAAACUCUUUGUUGCUGUUGUUGAGCCUCAACCUUUGAAGCUGAUUUCAAGGAAGAUAAUCUUGUCACUCAACAACUAUCCUUUGGUGGUAAAUCUGAAAGCACCUGUUUGUUUGUACAUUGAUUGCUUAUGAUAACUAUAGGCAUCCUCCUCCCAGUCACAUGUUGCUGAACACGUGAUGUCUGUAGAGAGCAGCCCUACCAUCACGAGUUCAUGCUCAUGGAAAUGCUGGGUGACACAUGAGAUAAAAAUGAGAUAUUUAUCUGCAUUCUCAAAGGGACAUGAGGUCACAGAACAGUACAGGUUGUUGUUGACGGUGAGUCAGACAUUCCCCAGGAGAAAGGUAAAUGAAGCGCAGGCAGGGGAUGUAAAAAGAGGCACAGUUUCUUGGAGGACCCGACUCCUGGAUAGACAGACUCAGGCUAUUGGACAAAAUAUCCAGAAGAGCAAGAGCUCAGAAAGCCGUUCCUUAAACUGACCAACUCUGGACAGUUACCACACUCUGCCUCGCUGGGACUGCUUAUCUGUGCAGGGAAUCAGCACGCCCCACGCAAGUGCCCCUGAUCUCACACAUGAUUACCUACAAAGUCAAGAUGAUGCUGUCAUAAAGUGAAGAGGAAGGUACAAUAAAUGGAAGACAAGAUUAUUGCCUGACACAUAUACACCAUGGAAUACUAUGCAGCCAUAAAAAAGGAUGAGUUUGUGUCCUUUGUGUCAAAA